GCUGCGGCUGCGAAAAGAACAUCAGAGAGCACUGCCUCAGUCCCCUGAUGACUUCGAGAUGACCUUCAGGGAAAAGGAAUUUCAUACAUGGUUCUAAGUUCAAGGUCAGGUCCCAGCCAGGGCAAGAAGACAAAACAAGAAAAUAUGAAGAUUGAAAAGGAAGAAAUAAAGCUGUCCUUAUUUGCAUGUGGCGUAACAGCUUAUGUAGAAAAUCCCAAAGUAUACAGAUACUCUAUUUGGAUUAGAAGCCAAGGGGGAGUUCUUUGUCUCAACACUUCACACACCCCAGGAGCCUCUACAGCUGGUGGAAGAUGCCGAGAGGGAAGGGUCUUGUAAACUGAUUUUGGUACGGCGUGAAUAAGUCCGCAGUGGCCACCUUCUUCCCCGAGCUGACUCUACAACAUCACAAGAGAAAGCUGAUCACUCGGGGCAGCAAGCUACAGCUGCAGUGAGCCCGGCAAUCACAAGAGUGAACAACUGACGUUGGCGCCUUCCUGAAGGACACUGUGCCUGCUAAACCACCAACAAGCGCGAUGCCCCAGCACCUGCGACCAGCUAUUCUCGAACCUCCUCAGGAGAGGGAGAAACAGAUGACCGGGUCAUUGUUGCAUCCUCAUCAUCCAGCAAUUAAUUUUAGCUCAAUGCUUCCAACAUUCUUCAUGCCCAGUGUGCUUUCAGCCGUGUCAGCUAAUGAGCGGUGGAAUCGAAGCAGACGUCUAGCAUUAACUAGGACAGAAUAAAUAAGCCUGCAGCUCAGGGAGCCGUUUCUUGACCCAGAUCACCAGGUGGAAUGGAUCCUUAACUCCUGCCACACCCAUGAGGUCGAUUUUCCAGAAGCACGUGGGUUAUCUGCAUGAAAGGGACGUGCUCACCCCAGCUGCACGAGGAGACCGUGUGCAAAGUUCUCCUCCAUCCCGGCUUUGUGAUCUGCUGCCAGCACUGUUAUAAACAGAGUGUUCGAUGUCGAAAGCAGGUUUCCCCAGCAACCCGAUGUCCAAGUCCAGGGAGGCCAGAGACCACCGCAAGGAUUUGAACAGGGGGAAUUGAACUAAAAGAAUUGUUUUUUACUUAACUAUUUCAUGAAAGAGGAGAAAGAGGACCUCGAGUUAUAUACAGAGUAGCAAAUGCAGAGAAUGACUUCCACCCUGGGAUAGUGACAAGGAAGGGACUUUGCACGUGGAGGACAGCCCUGCAAGGCUUAGGUUCAAGACCGCAGUGAGGGACCAGCCUGGGCCGUCCCAGGGAGCGGGAACUGCCCACCAGGCGGGGGGGGGGGGCGGACAUCAGGGCCCCACGGCCCUAGGAUACGCUGUGCUGCUUGAGUGACUGACUGAACAACACAGGACAAAAUCCCUCCUUCUGCCACCAGCUCCUGCUCGCCCUCCAGCGCCCUCUGUUGGCAGAGCCUGACACGGAGUUGCUGGCAAAGGAGAGAGGUAGCUAGCGGGCAGAGACCAGCUCCAGGAUCACAGAGCAGGGUA